rnacentral:rRNA from 1 species
AACGAACGCUGGCGGCAUGCCUAACACAUGCAAGUCGAACGAAGGCUUCGGCCUUAGUGGCGCACGGGUGCGUAACGCGUGGGAAUCUGCCCUUUGGUUCGGAAUAACAGCUGGAAACGGCUGCUAAUACCGGAUGAUGACGAAAGUCCAAAGAUUUAUCGCCAGAGGAUGAGCCCGCGUUGGAUUAGGUAGUUGGUGGGGUAAAGGCCUACCAAGCCGACGAUCCAUAGCUGGUCUGAGAGGAUGAUCAGCCACACUGGGACUGAGACACGGCCCAGACUCCUACGGGAGGCAGCAGUGGGGAAUAUUGGACAAUGGGCGCAAGCCUGAUCCAGCAAUGCCGCGUGAGUGAUGAAGGCCCUAGGGUUGUAAAGCCCUUUUACCCGGGAAGAUAAUGACUGUACCGGGAGAAUAAGCCCCGGCUAACUCCGUG